AGAAAAACAAGCACAUCCACGAACAUGGCUCGCGAGGACGGGAAAGAAGUUUUUCCAUUGGAGCGCUGCAGUUUCCCUUGACAACUAAGUUAGCUAAGGACUUUACAGGACUGAUUCACAACUUGGAUUAAUUUUUAUGAGAAACUCUUAUAAUUAUUUUGACCGGUGGACCCCCACAGACUAAAGGAGUAUAAAUACCAGAGGAGUGGAUACAUAUCUGGACUUAAUGGCGGCUUCAAAGCAGAUUGCAACAGGACGGAGCAUGGCCGCCAACAUGUGACCACAGUUGUCUCCCGCCAAAAUACCUACCGGCUUGUUUGCUUGUUCACCGAAGCAAUCACAACCCCUGCAGCUUUUACAAGUUUGGUGUUCCUCACCUUCUGUGAUAUAGCCAAGAUGGCGACCAUUGAGGAGGUCAGCACACCCGGGUCCCUGCACCUGCCUUCCGCCAACCACACAACUGGGCACAUCCAACUGGUGUGAGGCCGCGGGGCAGACCCAGAGCACGCUGGAGGGAUUAUAUAUCUCUUCUGG